GUGCUCGCUUUGUCAGCACAUAUACUAAAACUGGAACGAUACAGAGGAGAUUAGCACGUUCCCUGCGCAAGGAUGACACGCAAAUUUGUGAAGCGUUCCCUAUUUUU
rnacentral:snRNA from 1 species